UUAAGUGACUAAGCGUACACGGUGGAUGCCUGGGCAGUCAGAGGCGAUGAAGGACGUACUAACUUGCGAUAAGCGCAGAUAAGGCAGUAAGAGCCGUUUUGAGUCUGCGAUUUCCGAAUGGGGAAACCCAACUGCAUAAGCAGUUACUGUUAACUGAAUACAUAGGUUAACAGAGCAAACCGGGGGAACUGAAACAUCUAAGUACCCCGAGGAGAAGAAAUCAACCGAGAUUCCGGUAGUAGCGGCGAGCGAACCUGGAUUAGCCCUUAAGCACUCGGUGAAGUAGGUGAACAAGCUGGAAAGCUUGGCGAUACAGGGUGAUAGCCCCGUAACCGACGCUUCAUCGAGCGUGAAAUCGAGUAGGGCGGGACACGUGAUAUCCUGUCUGAAUAUGGGGGGACCAUCCUCCAAGGCUAAAUACUCCUGACUGACCGAUAGUGAACCAGUACCGUGAGGGAAAGGCGAAAAGAACCCCUGUGAGGGGAGUGAAAUAGAACCUGAAACCGUGUACGUACAAGCAGUAGGAGCACCUUCGUGGUGUGACUGCGUACCUUUUGUAUAAUGGGUCAGCGACUUAUAUUCAGUGGCAAGGUUAACCGUAUAGGGGAGCCGUAGCGAAAGCGAGUCUUAACUGGGCGCUCAGUCUCUGGAUAUAGACCCGAAACCGGGUGAUCUAGCCAUGGGCAGGUUGAAGGUUGAGUAACAUCAACUGGAGGACCGAACCGACUAAUGUUGAAAAAUUAGCGGAUGACUUGUGGCUAGGGGUGAAAGGCCAAUCAAACUCGGAGAUAGCUGGUUCUCCCCGAAAGCUAUUUAGGUAGCGCCUCGGACGAAUACUACUGGGGGUAGAGCACUGUUAAGGCUAGGGGGUCAUCCCGACUUACCAACCCUUUGCAAACUCCGAAUACCAGUAAGUACUAUCCGGGAGACACACGGCGGGUGCUAACGUCCGUCGUGGAGAGGGAAACAACCCAGACCGCCAGCUAAGGUCCCAAAGUAUUGCUAAGUGGGAAACGAUGUGGGAAGGCUCAGACAGCUAGGAUGUUGGCUUAGAAGCAGCCAUCAUUUAAAGAAAGCGUAAUAGCUCACUAGUCGAGUCGGCCUGCGCGGAAGAUGUAACGGGGCUAAGCAAUACACCGAAGCUGCGGCAAUGUCUUUUAGACAUUGGGUAGGGGAGCGUUCUGUAAGCCGUUGAAGGUGAAUCGUAAGGUUUGCUGGAGGUAUCAGAAGUGCGAAUGCUGACAUGAGUAACGACAAAGGGGGUGAAAAACCUCCUCGCCGGAAGACCAAGGGUUCCUGUCCAACGUUAAUCGGGGCAGGGUGAGUCGACCCCUAAGGUGAGGCCGAAAGGCGUAAUCGAUGGGAAACGGGUUAAUAUUCCCGUACUUCUGACUAUUGCGAUGGGGGACGGAGAAGGCUAGGUGGGCCAGGCGACGGUUGUCCUGGUUCAAGUGCGUAGGCUUGAGAGUUAGGUAAAUCCGGCUCUCUCUAAGGCUGAGACACGACGUCGAGCUACUACGGUAGUGAAGUCAUUGAUGCCAUGCUUCCAGGAAAAGCCUCUAAGCUUCAGAUAGUCAGGAAUCGUACCCCAAACCGACACAGGUGGUCGGGUAGAGAAUACCAAGGCGCUUGAGAGAACUCGGGUGAAGGAACUAGGCAAAAUGGUACCGUAACUUCGGGAGAAGGUACGCUCUUGAUGGUGAAGUCCCUCGCGGAUGGAGCUGACGAGAGUCGCAGAUACCAGGUGGCUGCAACUGUUUAUUAAAAACACAGCACUGUGCAAAAUCGCAAGAUGACGUAUACGGUGUGACGCCUGCCCGGUGCCGGAAGGUUAAUUGAUGGGGUUAGCGCAAGCGAAGCUCUUGAUCGAAGCCCCGGUAAACGGCGGCCGUAACUAUAACGGUCCUAAGGUAGCGAAAUUCCUUGUCGGGUAAGUUCCGACCUGCACGAAUGGCGUAAUGAUGGCCACGCUGUCUCCACCCGAGACUCAGUGAAAUUGAAAUCGCUGUGAAGAUGCAGUGUACCCGCGGCUAGACGGAAAGACCCCGUGAACCUUUACUACAGCUUGGCACUGAACAUUGAACCUACAUGUGUAGGAUAGGUGGGAGGCUAUGAAGACGUGACGCCAGUUGCGUUGGAGCCGUCCUUGAAAUACCACCCUUGUAUGUUUGAUGUUCUAACUUAGACCCAUUAUCUGGGUUGAGGACAGUGCCUGGUGGGUAGUUUGACUGGGGCGGUCUCCUCCCAAAGAGUAACGGAGGAGCACGAAGGUGGGCUAAUCACGGUUGGACAUCGUGAGGUUAGUGCAAUGGCAUAAGCCCGCUUAACUGCGAGAAUGACGGUUCGAGCAGGUGCGAAAGCAGGUCAUAGUGAUCCGGUGGUUCUGUAUGGAAGGGCCAUCGCUCAACGGAUAAAAGGUACUCCGGGGAUAACAGGCUGAUACCGCCCAAGAGUUCAUAUCGACGGCGGUGUUUGGCACCUCGAUGUCGGCUCAUCACAUCCUGGGGCUGAAGUCGGUCCCAAGGGUAUGGCUGUUCGCCAUUUAAAGUGGUACGCGAGCUGGGUUUAGAACGUCGUGAGACAGUUCGGUCCCUAUCUGCCGUGGGCGUUGGAAGAUUGAAGGGGGCUGCUCCUAGUACGAGAGGACCGGAGUGGACGAACCUCUGGUGUUCGGGUUGUGUCGCCAGACGCAUUGCCCGGUAGCUAAGUUCGGAAUUGAUAAGCGCUGAAAGCAUCUAAGCGCGAAGCGAGCCCUGAGAUGAGUCUUCCCUGACAGUUUAACUGUCCUAAAGGGUUGUUCGAGACUAGAACGUUGAUAGGCAGGGUGUGUAAGCGUUGUGAGGCGUUGAGCUAACCUGUACUAAUUGCCCGUGAGGCUUAACCAU
rnacentral:rRNA from 1 species